rnacentral:rRNA from 1 species
CUAGUAGUCACGUAGUUGAUCCUGGCUCGAGAACGACGCUGGCGGCAUGCCUAACACAUGCAAGUCGAACGAGACCUUCGGGUCUAGUGGCGCACGGGUGCGUAACGCGUGGGAACCUGCCUUUAGGUUCGGAAUAACUCAGAGAAAUUUGAGCUAAUACCGGAUAAUGUCUUCGGACCAAAGAUUUAUCGCCUUUAGAUGGGCCCGCGUUGGAUUAGCUAGUUGGUGGGGUAAAGGCCUACCAAGGCGACGAUCCAUAGCUGGUCUGAGAGGAUGAUCAGCCACACUGGGACUGAGACACGGCCCAGACUCCUACGGGAGGCAGCAGUGGGGAAUAUUGGACAAUGGGGCGAAAGCCUGAUCCAGCAAUGCCGCGUGAGUGAUGAAGGCCUUAGGGCUGUAAAGCUCUUUUACCCGAGAUGAUAAUGACAGUAUCGGGAGAAUAAGCUCCGGCUAACUCCGUG